rnacentral:lncRNA from 1 species
CACCUUCUCUCAUUCAUUUUUAUCGAUGAAUCUUUGGCAGGGACGGGUCCAAUGGUUGCUGAGGGCAAGGUCGAAACAAAGGAGACGUCAAGGACUUGUGAGUCUUUGAGCACGAAAUUCAAGGGACCUUGCAUCCGAUCAAGCAACUGUGCAAAUAUUUGCGAAGAAGAAGGCUUCAAGGGAGGCAAAUGUGUUGGCUUCAGGCUGAGAUGUACGUGCACUAAGAAUUGUUAGUGAUAUAACACACAAACUUAUUUUGGUGCAUGGGAUUGAGAUGAAUGAAAAUUUUUUACCCUUUUUUUCGUUUUGUUUAAGAGAAUAAAUGACUAACCCUAAUAUAAAUUUUGGGGUUGUGUCUGUGUUUUUGUUCUUAUGCGCUAACAGUGCGUGAGUUAUUUUGUAAUCAAUAAAAUCAAAAAAUAAUAUCGUUCAUUUCUUAAUGUAAUGAUACUUUUUUUCUCUCUACACAAAUGUACUCUUUCUAGCAUUACUUUAAACUUUUUACCAAUGCGUAAUGUUGAUUAUACUAUUUGUAACUUUAGGGGCUGCUUUUGUUAGUUUUUAGAGGCCAUGAACCAACUCUCACUCACCUCAAGCCACAGAUAUGCGAAACGUAAUUGAUCCAAAUUAGUUAUAUGUACAACAAUGGAAACUUUCAUAUCCACAUCACUAAUUGACUUAAUAUGGCGCACAAAACUCUUUUUUUUUUGUUUUUUUUUUUUUGUUUUUGUGGAGAAAUUUUAGGAUUGCAUUUAUAAUUUAGUCAAAAAAAAGCCACUAGCUAUAAAGGGCCAUUACAAUAACGGAGCGGUCUAACAUCAAAAUUAAAACAAUCUGGUCCGCCUCCACUAACAAUCACUUAGGAUCGAAGAAACUCUGGCAUAGGCAUCCCAAUUAAGAUUGCAAACUCAGAAUAAUCAAACAGAGUUAAAGCUUGAAAAAAUCAAGCCAUAACAAUACAAAUAAAACUCUCACAAAGGAGAGAUGAAAAGCUCUCACAAAAGAGAGAUGAUAAUCUCUCACAAAUGAGAGGUGAAAAGCUCUCACAAAAGGAGAGCUGAAAACUACACAGACAACCCAGAGAGUUUCUGUGACUUAUUUCGAACAUAAAGAAACCGCAAAGAAGAUGGUGGUGGAGAUCCGAUGCCGAAAUGCAUGUGGCGAUCCAACGCCGAGACGCAGUCACCUGUGAUGGUUGGAGGAAAAUCAUAACAAAACGAAGACAAACAGGGAAAACCUUUUGUCUCUGAAUAUGAGGGAAGAGAAGAGAGGGAGGAAGAGAAGAGGGGAGAGAGGAGGAAGAAUAGUGGCUUCCUCCCUCGUCAAAGUGAACUUGUCAUUUUCUUAUUGGUUCUUAGUGUGUUAAAAUUUUAUAAGAAGAAAUUAGUCAUUAGAAAAUGAUAAGUGACUAUUUUGGGUUAAAGCCCUUUUUUCUUUUUCUAUUUUGGGAUUUAACUACAACGAUCCUCGAACUUAUACGAGUUCACAUUUAGUUAAUUCAGUAUAAUAAUUAAAAAAAUUGUUUGUUUUUUAAAGAUUAUUGUAUCCAAAUUAUUAGUUUUACCCCUCAGUUUUACCAAAUUUGAAAAAAUAACUAAAUUGAAACAUGCACGAGAUCUGAAGGACCAAAAUAAAACUAGAUAUAAAUUUAGGGAUCAUUGCAGUUAAAAAAACCUUUGAAUUUUACUAGCAAAAUGAAAAGCCAAAAGAAUAAUUACGAAAAAUAUAUAUAUAAAGAUUAUGCAUGUGAUAUUUCUAGUUAGGUGGUCACUGCACGUAGUGGAUUAGAUUCCACAUUGAAUAUCCAUAUCAAUUGGUAAUUAUCUUUUGUCAAGACAAUAGAAAAUGAUUUAAUUUUUACAAUAGUUCUUGCAUGCUAAUCAAUUACCAUAUCCGAAUAAAAUGACAUAAUAUAUUCUUGCUGGCGACUUAUAGUUUGCAUUCAUGUUUGUAAUGGACUCGACUCACAAAGAUUCAGAAGCUUUUUAAACCAAAAGGAAAAUGAAGAAAUAGAAGGAAAUCUUGUAUAGGAACAUGAUUGUUUUGGCAUAAAGUUUAGGUUGGAGGCUAUGAUUUCAGCAACUUCCUUUUGUUACCAACAAAUACAGAAAUACAGAAAAGGGUGGGGGAAAGUAAUUAAAGGAGGCAUUUCAAAAUAAUAGUGCUUUUAAAAUAUAUAUAUAUAUAUAUAUAUAUCAAGGGGCAAGUCCAUUUAAAUAAUGCUUGAAUAUGUACUGUUAAGUUUUCUUUUUGAAAAUUUGUGAUAAUUGUAUUCAAUAAUUCGACACAAAGAUCAAAUACUCAUAAAGGGUUAGUAUAAAGUUGUAUGCACAGUAAUUGCAGAUGGUUAAUUCAUAUAUAAGAGGAUACACUGGUGACAUUGCACAAUUUGUAUCUCCACUAAUAGUCCUAAAAGACCAAAUAUAUUUCGAUGUAACAGUCACAUGCCUGAGCAAAUCAGACAUGUAAUACAACGCCCAAAAUUACAAAUACAACGACAAUCAACUCUUACAAGUAGAGACUAAAACACAAAUAAACACCCAACUCACAAAGAGUUGUUGGUUUCAGUAUUUUAAAAAGUAGGAAAAUUACCCUUAAAAUUAUAAAUUAUUACACUAUUGGCCCUUUUGUGCGUCAAAUUACAAAUGAUUAAAAAGUUGACAUAUCCAUAUGAAAAAAGAAAAAUUGACACAUCACCUAUACUAGAAGGUUAAAUCUGUCCAACAAAUAAAAGGUUAAAUAGAAGGUUAAAAUUUUUCUAUAAGUUCUUAUUUGUUGUCCAUAUGACAUGUUCAUUUAGGUUUAUCAUCCAUGUCCGCAUAAAAUGGGCUAAUUAAGUGUUAGGUAAAAAUAACAAAGGUUAAAUUUCCCUCCGCUCUCUAUUUUUCAUAGGUGUACCGCUCUUUACGGAAAUGCUCUUAAUUUGCUUCAUAACAACUCUAUAUAAAAGGCGUUGGAUGGUUAACCUUUGAAUCAAGGCAUCUUGAAUCAACAUUCAACAUCCCUCUGUCUGUGUUUUUGUUUCAUACGCGUGCACGUACACACACAAAAAUCAAGAUGGAGGGAUCCAAACGUAUGUUUUCAACUGUCUUCAUCCUCGUCCUGCUCUUCGUGGCUAUUGGUAUCUCUCUCUUUCCUCAUUUUAAUUUCAUCUUUAUAUUUGAUUAGUGAUAUAUUUCUUUCCAAUGCUGAAAGACGUUUCAAGUUUGAAUCCACCUUCUCUCAUUCAUUUUUAUCGAUGAAUCUUUGGCAGGGACGGGUCCAAUGGUUGCUGAGGGCAAGGUCGAAACAAAGGAGACGUCCAGGACUUGUGAGUCUUUGAGCACGAAAUUCAAGGGACCUUGCAUCCGAUCAAGCAACUGUGCAAAUAUUUGCGAAGAAGAAGGCUUCAAGGGAGGCAAAUGUGUUGGCUUCAGGCUGAGAUGUACGUGCACUAAGAAUUGUUAGUGAUAUAACACACUAACUUAUUUUGGUGCAUGGGAUUGAGAUGAAUGAAAAUUUUUUACCCUUUUUUUCGUUUUGUUUAAGAGAAUAAAUGACUAACCCUAAUAUAAAUUUUGGGGUUGUGUCUGUGUUUUUGUUCUUAUGCGCUAACAGUGCGUGAGUUAUUUUGUAAUCAAUAAAAUAAAAAAAUAAUAUCGUUCAUUUCUUAAUGUAAUGAUACUUUUUUUCUCUCUACACAAAUGUACUCUUUCUAGCAUUACUUUAAACUUUUUACCAAUGCGUAAUGUUGAUUAUACUAUUUGUAACUUUAGGGGCUGCUUUUGUUAGUUUUUAGAGGCCAUGAACCAACUCUCACUCACCUCAAGCCACAGAUAUGCGAAACGUAAUUGAUCCAAAUUAGUUAUAUGUACAACAAUGGAAACUUUCAUAUCCACAUCACUAAUUGACUUAAUAUGGCGCACAAAACUCUUUUUUUUUUGUUUUUUUUUUUUUGUUUUUGUGGAGAAAUUUUAGGAUUGCAUUUAUAAUUUAGUCAAAAAAAAGCCACUAGCUAUAAAGGGCCAUUACAAUAACGGAGCGGUCUAACAUCAAAAUUAAAACAAUCUGGUCCGCCUCCACUAACAAUCACUUAGGAUCGAAGAAACUCUGGCAUAGGCAUCCCAAUUAAGAUUGCAAACUCAGAAUAAUCAAACAGAGUUAAAGCUUGAAAAAAUCAAGCCAUAACAAUACAAAUAAAACUCUCACAAAGGAGAGAUGAAAAGCUCUCACAAAAGAGAGAUGAUAAUCUCUCACAAAUGAGAGGUGAAAAGCUCUCACAAAAGGAGAGCUGAAAACUACACAGACAACCCAGAGAGUUUCUGUGACUUAUUUCGAACAUAAAGAAACCGCAAAGAAGAUGGUGGUGGAGAUCCGAUGCCGAAAUGCAUGUGGCGAUCCAACGCCGAGACGCAGUCACCUGUGAUGGUUGGAGGAAAAUCAUAACAAAACGAAGACAAACAGGGAAAACCUUUUGUCUCUGAAUAUGAGGGAAGAGAAGAGAGGGAGGAAGAGAAGAGGGGAGAGAGGAGGAAGAAUAGUGGCUUCCUCCCUCGUCAAAGUGAACUUGUCAUUUUCUUAUUGGUUCUUAGUGUGUUAAAAUUUUAUAAGAAGAAAUUAGUCAUUAGAAAAUGAUAAGUGACUAUUUUGGGUUAAAGCCCUUUUUUCUUUUUCUAUUUUGGGAUUUAACUACAACGAUCCUCGAACUUAUACGAGUUCACAUUUAGUUAAUUCAGUAUAAUAAUUAAAAAAAUUGUUUGUUUUUUAAAGAUUAUUGUAUCCAAAUUAUUAGUUUUACCCCUCAGUUUUACCAAAUUUGAAAAAAUAACUAAAUUGAAACAUGCACGAGAUCUGAAGGACCAAAAUAAAACUAGAUAUAAAUUUAGGGAUCAUUGCAGUUAAAAAAACCUUUGAAUUUUACUAGCAAAAUGAAAAGCCAAAAGAAUAAUUACGAAAAAUAUAUAUAUAAAGAUUAUGCAUGUGAUAUUUCUAGUUAGGUGGUCACUGCACGUAGUGGAUUAGAUUCCACAUUGAAUAUCCAUAUCAAUUGGUAAUUAUCUUUUGUCAAGACAAUAGAAAAUGAUUUAAUUUUUACAAUAGUUCUUGCAUGCUAAUCAAUUACCAUAUCCGAAUAAAAUGACAUAAUAUAUUCUUGCUGGCGACUUAUAGUUUGCAUUCAUGUUUGUAAUGGACUCGACUCACAAAGAUUCAGAAGCUUUUUAAACCAAAAGGAAAAUGAAGAAAUAGAAGGAAAUCUUGUAUAGGAACAUGAUUGUUUUGGCAUAAAGUUUAGGUUGGAGGCUAUGAUUUCAGCAACUUCCUUUUGUUACCAACAAAUACAGAAAUACAGAAAAGGGUGGGGGAAAGUAAUUAAAGGAGGCAUUUCAAAAUAAUAGUGCUUUUAAAAUAUAUAUAUAUAUAUAUAUAUAUAUCAAGGGGCAAGUCCAUUUAAAUAAUGCUUGAAUAUGUACUGUUAAGUUUUCUUUUUGAAAAUUUGUGAUAAUUGUAUUCAAUAAUUCGACACAAAGAUCAAAUACUCAUAAAGGGUUAGUAUAAAGUUGUAUGCACAGUAAUUGCAGAUGGUUAAUUCAUAUAUAAGAGGAUACACUGGUGACAUUGCACAAUUUGUAUCUCCACUAAUAGUCCUAAAAGACCAAAUAUAUUUCGAUGUAACAGUCACAUGCCUGAGCAAAUCAGACAUGUAAUACAACGCCCAAAAUUACAAAUACAACGACAAUCAACUCUUACAAGUAGAGACUAAAACACAAAUAAACACCCAACUCACAAAGAGUUGUUGGUUUCAGUAUUUUAAAAAGUAGGAAAAUUACCCUUAAAAUUAUAAAUUAUUACACUAUUGGCCCUUUUGUGCGUCAAAUUACAAAUGAUUAAAAAGUUGACAUAUCCAUAUGAAAAAAGAAAAAUUGACACAUCACCUAUACUAGAAGGUUAAAUCUGUCCAACAAAUAAAAGGUUAAAUAGAAGGUUAAAAUUUUUCUAUAAGUUCUUAUUUGUUGUCCAUAUGACAUGUUCAUUUAGGUUUAUCAUCCAUGUCCGCAUAAAAUGGGCUAAUUAAGUGUUAGGUAAAAAUAACAAAGGUUAAAUUUCCCUCCACUCUCUAUUUUUCAUAGGUGUACCGCUCUUUACGGAAAUGCUCUUAAUUUGCUUCAUAACAACUCUAUAUAAAAGGCGUUGGAUGGUUAACCUUUGAAUCAAGGCAUCUUGAAUCAACAUUCAACAUCCCUCUGUCUGUGUUUUUGUUUCACACGCGUGCACGUACACACACAAAAAUCAAGAUGGAGGGAUCCAAACGUAUGUUUUCAACUGUCUUCAUCCUCGUCCUGCUCUUUGUGGCUAUUGGUAUCUCUCUCUUUCCUCAUUUUAAUUUCAUCUUUAUAUUUGAUUAGUGAUAUAUUUCUUUCCAAUGCUGAAAGACGUUUCAAGUUUGAAUCCACCUUCUCUCAUUCAUUUUUAUCGAUGAAUCUUUGGCAGGGACGGGUCCAAUGGUUGCUGAGGGCAAGGUCGAAACAAAGGAGACGUCCAGGACUUGUGAGUCUUUGAGCACGAAAUUCAAGGGACCUUGCAUCCGAUCAAGCAACUGUGCAAAUAUUUGCGAAGAAGAAGGCUUCAAGGGAGGCAAAUGUGUUGGCUUCAGGCUGAGAUGUACGUGCACUAAGAAUUGUUAGUGAUAUAACACACUAACUUAUUUUGGUGCAUGGGAUUGAGAUGAAUGAAAAUUUUUUACCCUUUUUUUCGUUUUGUUUAAGAGAAUAAAUGACUAACCCUAAUAUAAAUUUUGGGGUUGUGUCUGUGUUUUUGUUCUUAUGCGCUAACAGUGCGUGAGUUAUUUUGUAAUCAAUAAAAUAAAAAAAUAAUAUCGUUCAUUUCUUAAUGUAAUGAUACUUUUUUUCUCUCUACACAAAUGUACUCUUUCUAGCAUUACUUUAAACUUUUUACCAAUGCGUAAUGUUGAUUAUACUAUUUGUAACUUUAGGGGCUGCUUUUGUUAGUUUUUAGAGGCCAUGAACCAACUCUCACUCACCUCAAGCCACAGAUAUGCGAAACGUAAUUGAUCCAAAUUAGUUAUAUGUACAACAAUGGAAACUUUCAUAUCCACAUCACUAAGUGACUUAAUAUGGCGCACAAAACUCUUUUUUUUUUGUUUUUUUUUUGUUUUUGUGGAGAAAUUUUAGGAUUGCAUUUAUAAUUUAGUCAAAAAAAAGCCACUAGCUAUAAAGGGCCAUUACAAUAACGGAGCGGUCUAACAUCAAAAUUAAAACAAUCUGGUCCGCCUCCACUAACAAUCACUUAGGAUCGAAG